ACCGAUACGAAAAUUAGCAUUCAGAAUGGUGAAUAAAAUCUAACAAUAUCCUAUCUUAAGUUCCAUCAUGGAGAUGUUCAGUCGACAUCCAAUUUUUCAGUCCUUCCAAUUUUAGUGUAUUUUUAGAAAUAUUGCAUGGAAAAUACUUUGCCAGAAAAAAAUAAACUUUUACCUUGAUACAAUAUGGAUAAUAAUCCCAUAAUGAAAAUGAGCAAAGGCUGUUGGAAAUUUGAUGAAGAUGAUCGAGCAUUAUAUAUAGACAUUGAAGAAAAUACUGAAGAAGAGAAAGAAAAUAAAAUAUAUAGCUGUUGGGAUCAAACACCUGAUAUACUUUUAGAAGAAAUUUUUUCUUAUUUAACUAUUCGUGAAAGAUAUUAUGCAUCUUUGGUAUGUAGGUCAUGGUAUCGUGCUUUUAAAUUGCCAAAAGUAUGGUCUACAUUUACAUUAGAAGAUACCACUCUUACUAGAGGCAAAUUUAAUUAUCAUAGUGGUUGGCAAUAUGUUUUGGAUCAUAUGAGAACUUCCACAUGUUUGAAUAAAGUUGGAAGAAAUUUUAGAUCUCUUGUUUUUGAACCAAUGUUGAAUUUUUAUAAUCUUUAUGAAUUUAUGAAUAUGAUAUCAUGGUACACUGAAAAACAAGGAUCAGAUAAUACAUCAGUGGCAGGAGUUGGUACUUAUAUUCGACGACUUAAAUUUACAUUUCCUUGUAAUAUGGCAAACAGAGAUGAUCCUGAUAGUAUUAGAAUUUUUGGUACUGGUGGAAAAUUAUUAGAAGCAUUGAAAAGAUUGAUGCGUAAUUUACAUAAUUUGAAAUGCUUAGAGUUGAUAGAUCUCAUGUUAGAUAGUAAAGAAGCUUUACAUUUAAUGGAUGAUAUCUGUGCAAAUUGUACUCAGACAUUAUCAAAAUUGGUUUUAAUUAAUACUACAAGAUAUCAUUGCCCUCUUUUACAUGUAGGAGUAUUUAUUAAUUUAAAUGUAUUAGUUAUUAGUCCUCAAAAUCUUCAUGAAGAUGUAAUAGAUUUAAUUGGAUAUACUAAAUUGCAACAUCUUCAUAUUGUUCAAAAUUGCUAUAGUCCAAAAGAUGCUACAGUGAGAUUGCCUUCAAGAAAAUCUUGGAUAAAGAUGAAAAGAAACAAUCCCCACAUUAAAGUUCACUUUGAAGUGGAAAGUCAUAAAUCUACAGAUGUACUUUUACCCAUUGAUUUAUUAGAACAUGGGAAUAUUCCAUGUCACAGUAUUGUUUUAGAUAUUCCAAAUACACAGAUUUCAUCUUCAACUAUUCUUAAUCAUGGAACAUUUUUUGAAUCAACAAUAAAGGUAUAUGCGUUUAAAGGUCUAAGCAGAUAUUUUGUGCCCAGAAAUUUUUCUCAAAGAUUGGAUGAAGCACUAGUACAAUUUUGCAAAAUGUGUCCAAACCUUCAUACACUGGUAUCACUUUGUGUUUGACUGAAUUUCUGAUGUGUAUUGUCACUUUUUAAAAUCACUAUGAUUUUAACAAAAACUUUUAAUGAUGUGUGAUAGCAUGCAUUCAAAUUUUUGUUAUACAAAAUUAUUUAUUACUAUUCGUCUUCUAUGGAUCUAUUUAUGUACAUAUGUUGUGUGGCAAUAUAUCACUGAUUUGUCAAUAGUACAUAAGACAAGAGAUUUAAAUUCAGAUCAAUGAUUGUAUCAAUGACUUGGAAGCCAAUCAGUGGGAGACAAAUAUUUUACCAUGACACAUUUAAUAAUUUGCCUGGGUUAAUAACUGGUCUUUGAACGAAUAAUACUUCAUACAAUUACAUUAAUCCACGGAUUGGUUUCCUUGAUGAUUCGAGAUAAAAUUUCAACGGCCACCAUUUUAGAAAUUGUAUCUACAGCAAAGAAUUUACGUUGUUUAUAUGUCAGAAGAUAUUCAAUUUUAAAAAAAUGUGAUGGGGAUUGGUUAAAAAUUAUGAACUGGUCACCUGAACAUUAUCAAUGGAUUCAAAAAAAUAGCCGUAGUUAUGAAAAUACAGAAAAAGAAGUAUCUAGAAUAUUGAACUAUAGAUGGCACAUGUUGAGUGAAAGAGAAUUUGCUGAUCAAAUGGUGAAAUUACAUUUAUAAUGUAUUCAUAAAAAAAGGAAAAAGUUUUUAAAAAAAGUGUUUUAUAACAGAUUGUGAUUAUAUAAUUAUAUCUCUAAAUAAUAUCUUAUAAAAUGUAUUGUUUAUGUAGUUUAUAUAUUACGUUUGUAUAUACGUAUAAUUUGUAUAAUGUAUUUACACUUUUUGACAUAACUGUGAUGAUGUAAAUACAUAAGAAAUUAUUGCUUACUUAAAGUUGAUUAAGGUGGAUUGUUAAAUACAGAAUUGUACAAUCAUCAAAAAUAAUAACAUAAUAAAAUGACUGAAAUUGUA